AAUAGACCUCAUUCCAGAUACAUGAUUCUAUUCUCGCGAGAGCGUAUCCUUGGCGUGACCGCGCGUGACCUCGCACGAAAACGAGACCGCCGUUGGGUCACUCCCGGUCAGGUUUCCCAUUGAGGCGGCCUAACAAUGGAGCCUUCCACAGUCGAUAGCGAUACUCCAACUUCAACGGUGCAGCACCCGUCCUUCACUCCUGGGUGAAGCAGAAACCAGAGAGACCAGCUCCAAAGAAGAGAUGUUCUCCCACCAAGAAAAAGAAAGGAGCUUGUGGACUUAACAAAAUUGAUGAACCUGAGGACUCCUCCGCUUGUUGUUCGGAUCCUGGUCUCGACACCAACAUGGCUAUACUUCAACCUGACCUGGCAACAUCCCCAUCACCGACUGCACUGCCAUCACAGACCACAUCUUCACCAUGCUUACCUGACAAACUUUUUACCACCACUUGUACAGAACUACUGAAACUGUCAUGUUUAUUGAAGUGGCAUUGUAUUUACAUGUGUCUGAAGGUUACAAGAACAUGUACAUGUUUUUUCACAAAUAAAAAAAUGAUGAGAA